rnacentral:rRNA from 1 species
CCUACGUGUGGCAGCAGUGGGGGAUAUUGCACAAUGGGGGAAACCCUGAUGCAGCGACGCCGCGUGGGUGAAGAAGCACCUCGGCGCGUAAAGCCCUGUCAGCAGGGAAGAAAAUGACGGUACCUGAAUAAGAAGCCCCGGCUAACUACGUGCCAGCAGCCGCGGUAAUACGUAGGGGGCGAGCGUUAUCCGGAUUUACUGGGUGUAAAGGGGGCGCAGACGGCGAUGCAAGCCAGGAGUGAAAGCCCGGGGCCCAACCCCGGGACUGCUGUUGGAACUGCGUGGCUAGAGUGCAGGAGGGGUAGGCGGAAGUCCUGGUGUAGCGGUGAAAUGCGUAGAUAGCAGGAGGAACACCGGUGGCGAAGGCGGCCUGCUGGACUGCAACUGACGUUGAGGCUCGAAAGCGUGGGGAGCAAACAGGAUUAGAUACCCGUGUAGUC